rnacentral:rRNA from 1 species
AACGAACGCUGGCGGCAUGCCUAACACAUGCAAGUCGAACGAGACCUUCGGGUCUAGUGGCGCACGGGUGCGUAACGCGUGGGAAUCUGCCCUUGGGUUUGGAAUAACAGCGAGAAAUUGCUGCUAAUACCGGAUGAUGACGUAAGUCCAAAGAUUUAUCGCCCAAGGAUGAGCCCGCGUAGGAUUAGCUAGUUGGUGAGGUAAAGGCUCACCAAGGCGACGAUCCUUAGCUGGUCUGAGAGGAUGAUCAGCCACACUGGGACUGAGACACGGCCCAGACUCCUACGGGAGGCAGCAGUGGGGAAUAUUGGACAAUGGGCGAAAGCCUGAUCCAGCAAUGCCGCGUGAGUGAUGAAGGCCUUAGGGUUGUAAAAGGCUCUUUUACCCGGGAUGAUAAUGACAGUACCGGGAGAAUAAGCUCCGGCUAACUCCGUGCCAGCAGCCGCGGUAAU